rnacentral:rRNA from 1 species
ACGAGAAAGGGGGCAACCCCCGGUACAGGUGGCGCACGGGUGAGUAACACGUGGAUUACCUGCCCUGGAGUGGUGGAUAACCUGCCGAAAGGUGGGCUAAUACAGCAUGAGACCACGCGGUUUCGAUCGUGAGGUCAAAGCGGGCUUCUGUUCACAAGCUCGCGCUCUAGGAUGGGUCCGCGGCCCAUCAGCUAGUUGGUAGGGUAACGGCCUACCAAGGCUACGACGGGUAGCUGGUCUGAGAGGAUGGCCAGCCACACUGGAACUGAGACACGGUCCAGACUCCUACGGGGAGGCAGCAGGUGGGGAAUCUUGCGCAAUGGACGAAAGUCUGACGCAGCGACGCCGCGUGGGUGACGAAGGCCUUCGGGUUGUAAAAGCCCUGUGGGGAGAGACGAACCGGCAUCUGGCUAACAUCCAGGUGCUCUGACGGUAUCUCCUUAGCAAGCAUCGGCUAACUCUGUGCCAGCAGCCGCGGUAAGACAGAGGAUGCAAACGUUGCUCGGAAUUACUG